UACAAAUCACCUGUAAACUAAUAAGGGAGGUAACCACUGUAUCGAACAUGUAACUGCGUUGCAAGAAAUUAGAGUACUGCCAUUUUAGUUUUUGUCCCCUACCGAUUUCACCGGAGGGGACUUAUGGUUUGCGCUCUGUGCGUCUGUCUGUCUGUCACACUUUUCUGGAUCCUGCGAUAACUUAAAAGUUCUUCAUAUUUUUUCAUGAAACUUGAAUCGUGGAUAGAUGGCAGUAUGGACAUUAUGCACGUCAUAUUAUUUUGUUCCUUCGUCAAAAAUUCUGAUUGCUAUGGCAACAAAUAUAUAUAUAUAUAAAAACUAUGACAAUGGUGGAGCCGGUAGGGGACAUAUAAUUGCUACGUAAUAGUCUUGUUAUAUCUUUUCUGAACUUGCAAAACGAUGUGUUAGGUUAAGUAGCUCGAAAAGGUUAAGUUUGACGUUUCUUCAAUAAUGCAUUAUAAUAAUACAUUAGCAACUCACGGUUAAUAUGAUUACACUACAUCGAUUUGACUGCUGAUUAAUUGCAAACAUUAACCCAUUUUAGCCUAGUUGACUCUCCCAUCCUUCUAAAUUGGAGCAAUUUAUUUCCAAAAUUAGGGAUGUCUAGUAUAUUUGUUUCUAUAUUUAAAAAAUUUCUUACAGAAAUUUCUUUAAGCAAACAGCGCAGACCCUGAUGAGACCCUCUCAUCUGGGUCUACGCUGUUUGCCAAUGCCUUUUUCUAGACGCUAGGCAUAAAUGGGUUUAAGAAAAUGCAAUAGUUGUAUGAAAUUAAGUUUUUCUAAUAAACGUCCUCUGUAAUUUAUGUAAGAAAUAUUCUAAAUAUAUAAAUAAAUAUACUAGAAAUCCCUAAUUUUGGAAAUAAAUUGAUCCAAUUGCAUGCGGCGUCUAAUCUGGGUCUACGCUGUUUGCCAAUGUCUUUUUUCUAGACGCUAUGCAUAAAUGGGUAAAUCUCAGAAAAUGUUGCACACGACACACUUACCUGACGACAAAUUUAAACGAAUACAGAUUGGAAAUCAAAAGAAAAAUGAGUUUGAUCUAAAACAUCAAUUCAAAAUAACGUUUUGCAUUCAGUGACAAACAUUAUGCUUUGAGUGCCGUUUUUUUCUUAAAGAGCACAAUGGCGCCUGGUUCCGAGCACACCGUGAAUGGACGGCGCUACGACAGAGAGAUCCACUUUGUGUUGUUUAACAGCAAGUAUGGCACCUUAGAGAACGCCGAGAACAAAACAGACGGCAUUGCAGUGUUGGCAUUUUUGUCAAGACAGCACCGUGAACGCUCGAAUAAACCUUAAUACCUUCUUCGACCGGCAGUGCGAGUUCUUCACGUAUCGGGGCAGCAAAACGACCCCGCAGUGCUUCCAGUCCGUCCAAUGGGUAAUCUUCCGGGAGCCAAUACCGGUAUUGUACUAGUCGGUCAGUCAUAGUCACGUGAUGAGUUUUCAAGAGAAGCAUCAUAAACAUAAACUCCAUUAUCAUAAUCGUCAUCCGGAAACGUAUACCGGUCACAUGCCGGGUUUAAUCUUUGUGUGGGUUGCUUAAUAUGAUAUAGCCCACAUGACCAAUAUAUUACGUGUCUAAAGGCUUAACUUGUUGUUUUUUCUACUACCACACUGUAGGACCAGAGAGUGCAUUUGCGUGUUUAUUGUAUGAGUCGUGUUCUGAGAAAACUGGGCAUAAUGCUUGCAUAAUAACGUUAUCUCACAGUUUUGAGUCUAGAAACGCUUACUGUAUUUAAAAACCAAAGACGCAGUCAAAUACACGUCUUAUUUCGCCCACAUAUGUAACCAGUUAAACAUUCCUGUAAUGUUUGUUUCAGAUUGCGAAAAAUAGUCAUUUACUUUAAACAGCAUACAUUUUUUAAGAUGUAACUGUCGUCAUUUGACAACAAAGUCGAUGGCCAAUGUUUUCAUUUACGCGACUCCUUGGUAUCAUUUUUUUUAUUUUUCAUAACUAACCCAUAUUUUAUUCCAAUGGUCGGCAUUGCAGGCGCUGGAGUCCACCGGAGACUUCGACGCUCGUUACGGAAAUUACCGCAUUUCGCAGCCGCUUAACGACCGCAUAGUGGAGGCAAACUUCAUGCCUCCCGGUUACACUCGACCCCGACGGAAGCACAGUUUGAGCGAGGGAGCCAAAGGGAACUCCUCGUACAGACCGUCUAACUAGUUGAAUAGACCGUCAAUACUUUUGUCCACAAAACGCAUUUACAAACUCAAAAAACAGAAACUCAACUAUUUGAUUUAUUUAAAAUUAAAUAAUCUUUUUGUUUUGAUAUCUUUGGUAAAAGUGUAACAGUUCUAGUAGAUCAGCAGUUAUUUGUGUCUCUAUGGAAUCUAGUUUUACACCGAUUGUUGAUAUUUUCUUCUAUAGAUCUAACAUUGUUAACUGAAGUUUUGUAAUCUCUUAUAUCAAAAAAGUAGAUUAUUUUAAAAUAAACCAUGUGAUACACUCAA